UACGUAGGGACCGAGCGUUGUCCGGAUUCAUUGGGCGUAAAGAGCUCGUAGGCGGCUAUUCAAGUCGAACGUGAAAUCUCGGAGCUCAACUCCGAAACUGCGUUCGAUACUGGGUAGCUAGAGUCUGGUAGGGGGAUCUGGAAUUCCUGGUGUAGCGGUGGAAUGCGCAGAUAUCAGGAGGAACACCGGUGGCGAAGGCGGUUCUCUGGGACGGUACUGACGCUGAGACGCGAAAGCGUGGGGAGCGAACAGG
rnacentral:rRNA from 1 species